GAUGAGGUGGCUGAGUGGUUAAAGUGAUGGACUGCCGAUCCAUUGUACUCUGCACACAUGGGUUCAAAUCACAACCUCUUCG